rnacentral:rRNA from 1 species
CGCGAAUCGCCCUUCGGGGUGCGCAGGCGCGAAAACUUUACAAUGCGGGAAACCGUGAUAAGGGAACUCCGAGUGCCCGUAAAAUCGGGCUGUCCAUUGGUUUAAAUAACCAGUGAAGAAAGGGCCGGGCAAGACCGGUGCCAGCCGCCGCGGUAAUACCGGCGGCUCGAGUGGUGGCCACUAUUACUGGGCUUAAAGCGUUCGUAGCUGGUUUGUUAAGUCUCUGGGGAAAUCUUCCGGCUUAACCGGAAGGCGUCUCAGGGAUACUGGCAGACUAGGGACCGGGAGAGGUGAGGGGUACUUCAGGGGUAGGAGUGAAAUCCUGUAAUCCUUGAGGGACCACCUGUGGCGAAGGCGCCUCACCAGAACGGCUCCGACAGUGAGGGACGAAAGCUGGGGGAGCAAACCGGAUUAGAUACCCGGGUAGUCCCAGCUGUAAACGAUGUGCGUUAGGUGUAUCAGUGACCACGAGUCACUGAGGUGCCGAAGAGAAAUCGUGAAACGUACCGCCUGGGAAGUACGGUCGCAAGGCUGAAACUUAAAGGAAUUGGCGGGGGAGCAC